rnacentral:rRNA from 1 species
GUACACGCUGUGACUAGCAUAUCAAUAAGCGGAGGAAAAGAAACUAACAAGGAUUCCCCUAGUAACGGCGAGUGAAGCGGGAAGAGCUCAAAUUUGAAAUCUUAAAGGGUUUCCCUUUACGAAUUGUAGUUUAAAGAAAUGUUUUCUGUUGAGGUUUUGGUAAAAGUUCUUUGGAAUAGGACAUCAUAGAGGGUGAGAAUCCCGUAUUUGACCUUUACUUUCAACUUUGUGAUACACUUUCAAAGAGUCGGAUUGUUUGGGAAUGCAGUCCAAAAUGGGUGGUAAAUUUCAUCUAAAGCUAAAUAUUGGCGAGAGACCGAUAGCGAACAAGUACCGUGAGGGAAAGAUGAAAAGAACUUUGAAAAGAGAGUUAAACAGUACGUGAAAUUGUCAAAAGGGAAGCGUUUGACACCAGUGUUGUUUUUCUGAAAAUCAAUUAAAGAACUGUUUAUGCUAAGUUGUUUAGACUUUAUCAGCUAUCUGUUUAGUUUUCGAGCUUUUCUUUAAUGCACUUUUCAGUUAACAAGUCAACAUCAAUUUCUUUUGCUGUAAAAAAGCUUGAGGAAGGUGGCUUGAGAUUCGUCUUAAGUGUUUAUAGCCUCUUGCCUAUGCAGUCGGAGAGAUUGAGGUCUGCAGCGUAGAUCCUUCGGGGCUAAAUGCAUUUGUGCUAAGUUAUAGCAUUUUAUAGACAACUUGUUGACUAUGAUUUGUCUUGUAGCUUACUCGCUUAUGUUAUUUUACCUACGCUUAGGAUGUUGAGUCGUAGAGCACGCAG